UAUGAAUGAGCUUAGUUCAACUGUCGUACCCGAUCAGAACCCAAAAUAAAAGCUUGUUUUACUUUGAACUGCAGAUUGUUCCUUUAAGAACAGUUUCUUAUUGCAAAAACAACUAGUGAAAUACACAGAGAACUUGGAGGACAGAAGUUAAAAUAUUUGCUUCAGUAUUGAAUAUGCCAGUAAUAAUAUAGAAUGAGAGGAGUAAUUCGUCCCACCAGCGAAUGUCUGACGGAGCGCUAUUUGGCACGCUUACACACAGUUAACUUUACACCCAUCAGUCUGGCUUACACACAGUUAACUUUACACCCAUCAGUCUGGCUUACACACAGUUAACUUUACACCCAUCAGUCUGGCUUACACACAGUUAACUUUACACCCAUCAGUUUGGCUUACACACAGUUAACUUUACACCCAUCAGUCUGGCUAACACACAAUUAACUUGCACAUGCAAACACACACACACACAUUAGUGUUGUUACGAUAUCAGAAUUUUGACUUCGAUACUGAUGUCAGGUUUAGUAUCGCGAUACACCCCCCCCAAAAAAAUAAGGCGUAUUAGCCAAGGUCACAGAAUGGCACUUGGUCCAGACAGAUAAACUCAUCUACUGCUCUAUUUAAUUGUUGGGUAUCUUUUGAGUUCAAUAUCAAUCAAAACGUUUUUAUUUUUUUGUGACAGCCCUGUAUACAUUCAUUAAUCAAUUAUACAAUCAUUCAAUCAAUUUGACUUUGUUUUGACCAAUCUAACUACAAAACAACAAAAAUAAUAAUAAUUUACUGGAGUGGUAAAUCAAGAUGUAGCCUAGGUCUAUUCGGUAAUAGAGGUGAAUGCAUAUUAUUCAAUAGGUGUGUGUGUCUUGCGUUGAGUUUUUCAGCUUGUUUCAGCUCAUUUCACGGGGCUACCGAUGACAAACAAUCCCUUACAUUUAGGACAUAUUAUAUUUGGCAAACUGCUAGGAGAA
rnacentral:lncRNA from 13 species